UGGGGGAUAUUGCACAAUGGGGGAAACCCUGAUGCAGCAACGCCGCGUGUGGGAAGAAGGUUUUCGGAUUGUAAACCACUGUUCUUGGUGAAGAUAAUGACGGUAACCAAGGAGAAAGCUCCGGCUAACUACGUGCCAGCAGCCGCGGUAAUACGUAGGGAGCAAGCGUUGUCCGGAUUUACUGGGUGUAAAGGGUGCGUAGGCGGCCAGGCAAGUCAGACGUGAAAACCAUGGGCUCAACCUGUGGACUGCGUUUGAAACUGUUUGGCUUGAGUGAAGUAGAGGCAGGCGGAAUUCCCGGUGUAGCGGUGAAAUGCGUAGAGAUCGGGAGGAACACCAGUGGCGAAGGCGGCCUGCUGGGCUUUAACUGACGCUGAGGCACGAAAGCAUGGGUAGCAAACA
rnacentral:rRNA from 1 species